AAAUGAAUUGACGGGGGCCCGCACAAGCGGUGGAGCAUGUGGUUUAAUUCGAUGCAACGCGAAGAACCUUACCUAGGCUUGACAUGGACUGGAAGAGUGGCAGAAAUGUCCUCGCCCGCAAGGGCCGGUUCACAGGUGCUGCAUGGCUGUCGUCAGCUCGUGUCGUGAGAUGUUGGGUUAAGUCCCGCAACGAGCGCAACCCUUGCCUUUAGUUGCCAGCAUUUAGUUGGGCACUCUAAAGGGACUGCCGACGUUAAGUCGGAGGAAGGUGGGGAUGACGUCAAGUCCUCAUGGCCCUUAUGCCUAGGGCUACACACGUGCUACAAUGGUAACCACAGAGGGAAGCUAAGUCGUAAGAUGGUGCCAAUCCCUCAAAAGUUAUCUAAGUUCGGAUUGAGGUCUGAAACUCGACCUCAUGAAGCUGGAAUCGCUAGUAAUCGCGGAUCAGAACGCCGCGGUGAAUACGUUCCCGGGCCUUGUACACACCGCCCGU
rnacentral:rRNA from 1 species